rnacentral:ncRNA from 1 species
ACGCGAGCUGGGUUUAGAACGUCGUGAGACAGUUCGGUCCCUAUCUGCCGUGGACGUUUGAGAUUUGAGAGGGGCUGCUCCUAGUACGAGAGGACCGGAGUGGACGAACCUCUGGUGUUCCGGUUGUCACGCCAGUGGCAUUGCCGGGUAGCUAUGUUCGGAAGAGAUAACCGCUGAAAGCAUCUAAGCGGGAAACUUGCCUCAAGAUGAGAUCUCACUGGGAUCUUGAAUCCCCCUGAAGGGCCGUCGAAGACUACGACGUUGAUAGGUUGGGUGUGUAAGCGCUGUGAGGCGUUGAGCUAACCAAUACUAAUUGCCCGUGAGGCUUGACCAU